rnacentral:rRNA from 1 species
UAGGGAAUCUUUGGCAAUGGGGGCAACCCUGACCGAGCAACGCCGCGUGAGUGAAGAAGGUUUUCGGAUCGUAAAGCUCUGUUGUAAGAGAAGAACGUGUGUGAGAGUGGAAAGUUCACACAGUGACGGUAACUUACCAGAAAGGGACGGCUAACUACGUGCCAG